CAUGAUUUAGCCAGUACCCCCAAGCAAAGAGACCUUUAGUUUGAUACCCCGAAACCAGGUGAGCUACCCCGAGACAGCCUAUGUUAAUUUAGGGCUAACCCGUCUCUGUGGCAAAAGAGUGGGAAGAGCUCCGGGUAGAAGUGAAAGACCUACCGAACCUGGUGAUAGCUGGUUGACUGAGAAAUGGAUAGAAGUUCAGCCUCGCACACCCCGAACCAAAGAAUAUUAUCACCAAGAUAUUUAGGGAAAAGUGCGAGAGUUAGUUGAAAGGGGUACAGCCCUUUUAACAAAGGAUACAACCUUAACAGGAGGAUAAAGAUCAUAAUAUAUAAAAUAUACUGUUCUAGUGGGCCUGAAAGCAGCCACCUAAGCAGAAAGCGUUAAAGCUCGGACAGAAAGAAGUUUAUUAUACAGAUAAAAAAUCUUAUUCCCCUAACUAUAUCAGACCAACCCAUGCCCGCAUGGAAGAGAUUAUGCUAAAAUGAGUAAUAAGAAGACCCGCUCUUCUCCCGGCACAAGUGUAAACCAGAUCGGACCAACCACUGGAACUUAACGAACCCAACCCAAGAGGGUAGUGUGAUUAACAAAAAACUCAAGAAGACCUCACAUUAGCUAAUCGUUAACCCCACACUGGAGUGCUAUUUUUAAGGGAAAGACUAAAAGAAGGGGAAGGAACUCGGCAAACACAAGCCUCGCCUGUUUACCAAAAACAUCGCCUCCUGCAACUAAACUGAGUAUAGGAGGUCCAGCCUGCCCAGUGACUACGGGUUCAACGGCCGCGGUAUCUUGACCGUGCAAAGGUAGCGCAAUCACUUGUCUCUUAAAUAGAGACCUGUAUGAAUGGCUAGACGAGGGCUUAACUGUCUCCCCCCUCCGGUCAGUGAAAUUGAUCUAUCCGUGCAGAAGCGGGUAUAAAUAUACAAGACGAGAAGACCCUUUGGAGCUUAAGGUACAAAGUACAACCACGUUAAACAACUUUAUAAGAAGCAAGAACUUAGUGGUAAUGAAUUUUUACCUUCGGUUGGGGCGACCGCGGAGGAAAAACAAGCCUCCGAGUGGACUGGGCCUAACCCCUGAAGCCAAUAGAGACAUCUAUGGGCCGCAGAACAUCUGACCAAAAAUGAUCCGGCUAAAAAGCCGACCAACGAACCAAGUUACCCAAGGGAUAACAGCGCAAUCCCCUCCCAGAGCCCAUAUCUACGAGGGGGUUUACGACCUCGAUGUUGGAUCAGGACAUCCUAAUGGUGCAGCCGCUAUUAAGGGUUCGUUUGUUCAACGAUUAAAGUCC
rnacentral:rRNA from 1 species